AAUUUAUGGAAGUCAACUUUCCAAAAUGCAAAGUCUUAAUUUUAUAAGCAAACAAACUGUCUACACCCCACACAUUUUGCGCAUAAUUUUUUUUCUUCUCCAAAAAAUCAAUCGUAAAAAGAGAGAGAAAGGAAAACAAUAUGGUUGAUGUGGUGGUUGAUGUGGUGGUGGAAAUUCUGUUAGAGAACUUGAAGAAAUUGGUGAUGGAGAAUGUGGAGUUAAUCGGAGGAAUUAAAAAUGAAAUCGAGAAUCUGUGUGAUGAUUUGAGUGAAUUCAAUGCCUUUCUCAAGCAAGCUGCAAUGGUCCGCAGCGAAAACCCAGUUCUGAAAGAAUUAGUGAGGAGUAUCAGGAAAGUGGUGAAUCGUACUGAAGAUGCUAUUGAUAAGUUUGUAAUAGAAGCUAAGGUUCAUAAGGACAAAGUGUUUAAAGGGGUUUUCAACAUACCUGUACAUUAUAAAAGAGUGAGGGACGUCGCUGUGGAGAUUAAAGAUAUCAGAGAUAAAAUGAGAGAAAUUCGGCAAAAUAAGGCACAUGGCCUUCAGGCACUUCAAGAUCAUGAUGAUUCAAUCAGCAGAGGUGGAGAAGAGAGACAGCCUCCUGUGGUUGAGGAAGAUGAUGUGGUGGGCUUUGACGAUGAGGCGCAGAUGGUAAUCGACCGUCUUCUUAAAGGAUCAGGUGAUUUAGAGGUUAUUACAGUUGUUGGAAUGCCUGGUCUUGGCAAAACUACACUAGCCACUAAGAUCUUCAAGCAUCCAAAGAUUGAGUACGAGUUCUUUACUCGACUUUGGCUUUAUGUUUCCCAAUCAUACAAGACAAGAGAAUUAUAUCUUAACAUCAUCAGUAAGUUAACCGGAAACACCAAGCAUUGCCGUCAUAUGUCUGAAAGGGAUUUAGCUCUUAAAGUAAGAGAGAUUUUGGAAGAAGGAGGAAAAUACUUGAUUGUCUUAGAUGAUGUCUGGUCGACAGAUGCUUGGGAUCGUAUCAAGAUUGCUUUCCCGAAAAAUGACAAGGACAAUAGAGUAUUGUUGACUACUCGAGAUCACAAUGUCGCAAGAUAUUGCAAUAGGAGUCCACAUGAUUUAAAAUUUCUGACUGAUGAAGAAAGUUGGAUUUUACUGGAGAAAAGAGCUUUACACAAAGCUAAAUGUCCCCCCGAAUUGGAAACAAAUGGAAAAAGCAUAGCCAGGAAGUGUAAAGGACUACCCCUUGCUAUUGUGGUGAUUGCAGGAGCUCUAAUUGGGAAAGGCAAGACAAUACAGGAAUGGGAGCAAGUGGAUCAGAGUGUGGGCGAACAUUUUAUAAAUAGAGAUCAGCCAAAUAAAUUGGUGCGGAUGAGUUAUGAUGUUUUGCCUUAUGACUGGAAAACUUGCUUUAUAUAUUUUGGUAUAUUCCCCAGAGGCUAUUUAAUCCCUGCCAGGAAAUUGAUCCGCUUAUGGAUCGCGGAAGGGUUCAUCCAGUACAGAGGGAAUUUAUCCCUUGAGUGUAAAGCAGAGAAUUACUUGAAUGAACUCGUGAAUAGAAAUUUAGUGAUGGUAAUGCAAAGGACGCUUGAUGGACAAAUCAAAACUUGUCGUGUUCAUGACAUGUUGUAUGAGUUUUGCUGGCAAGAGGCCACGACAGAGGAAAAUCUUUUCCAUGAAGUAAAAUUCGAUGGUGAGCAAUCUGUUCAUGAAGUAUCCACUCACCGUCGCUUGUGCAUUCAUUCCUCUGUUGUGGAAUUCAUUUCUAAGAAGCCCUCUGGUGAGCAUGUUAGGUCAUUCCUAUGUUUUUCUCCAGAAAAAAUUGACACUCCUCCAACUGUCAGUGCAAACAUAUCAAAAGCCUUUCCAUUGCUAAGAGUGUUUGAUACUGAAUCCAUCAAAAUCAAUCGCUUUUGCAAGGAGUUCUUUCAAUUGUAUCAUCUGAGGUAUAUUGCUUUCUCACUUGACUCGAUUAAAUUCCUUCCGAAACAUGUUGGGGAACUUUGGAACGUACAAACCCUCAUUGUCAACACACAACAGAUCAACUUUGAUAUUCAAGCAGACAUAUUGAACAUGCCCCGGCUAAGGCAUCUGCACACCAACACGUCUGCUAAAUUGCCUACGCCUGCUAACCCCAAAACAAGUAAGACUACCUUGGUAAAUCAAAGCCUGCAAACCCUCUCCACAAUUGCACCAGAAAGCUGCACUGAGUAUGUUCUCUCGAGAGCUCCGAACUUGAAAAAACUGGGCAUUCGUGGAAAAAUAGCUAAGCUAAUGGAACCAAGUCGGUCCAUAUUGUUCAACAAUGUUAAGAGGCUGCAAUUUCUUGAGAACUUGAAGCUGAUAAAUGUUGGUCAGACUGAUCAGACACAAUUACGCCUUCCUCCAGCAUCUCUAUUUCCAACUAAGUUGAGGAGGCUGACUUUAUCAGACACCUGGUUGGAGUGGGAUGAUAUGUCUGUAUUGAAACAGUUGGAGUACCUUCAAGUCUUGAAGCUGAAAGACAAUGCAUUUAAAGGAGAGCACUGGGAACUAAAUGAUGGAGGUUUUCCUUUCCUAGAAGUGUUAUGCAUUGAAAGGGCAAACUUAGUUUCUUGGAAUGCUUCCGGUGAUCACUUCCCGAGACUUAAACAUCUUCACAUAUCAUGUGAUAAACUUGAGAAGAUCCCCAUUGGCCUGGCCGAUAUACGCAGCCUCCAAGUGAUGGAUUUGCAAAAUUCCACCAAAUCAGCAGCAAAAUCUGCCCGAGAGAUACAAGCCAAAAAAAACAAGCUGCAAACUGCUAAAUCCCAGAAGUUCGAGCUUUCUGUAUUCCCUCCUGAUUCUGAUGUACAGACAGCUUCUUAGAAAGAUGCUAGUGAAAUUACCUAUGGAUUUUCGGUUGCAUUUAGUAAUUAUCUCACCUUAUGGCUUUUGAUAAAACUUCAAUUGGUAGUAACAUGUUCCUCCAUUUUUCUUGGUCUAAAAUAAUCGCAUGCUGCUGGUUCAACCAGCCUGGUUGGCGCGCAUGGUUUUUGCUUCAUUUGGCUCACUGCUCAAACAGCGAAGCCAAUUGCAUUUCAUAAGUGGAACGACUGAUCCACAGUUUUGUAACUCUUUGGUUUCUUACUGUAUUUGAUGUGUGUUCAUGUUUUAUUGAUUGUGGCUGUAAUGUGCCAUCGUAGCCGAGGAAUAAGAACCAAAUGUAACGUUCAAGAAAUCUCAGACAUUGAUACUUAUAAGUUAUACCACUCUGAAUUUUCUCCAUUCAGAUACAACAACAGAACAAUAGUCACUUGUUCUGAUUCAUACACAAUUUGAUCAUGUUUUAUUAUUUAAACAGCA